rnacentral:rRNA from 1 species
UACGAAGGGGGCUAGCGUUGCUCGGAAUUACUGGGCGUAAAGCGCGCGUAGGCGGGUUGUUAAGUCGGGGGUGAAAUCCUGGAGCUCAACUCCAGAACUGCCUUCGAAACUGACGAUCUUGAGUUCGGGAGAGGUGAGUGGAACUGCGAGUGUAGAGGUGAAAUUCGUAGAUAUUCGCAAGAACACCAGUGGCGAAGGCGGCUCACUGGCCCGAUACUGACGCUGAGGUGCGAAAGCGUGGGGAGCAAACAGG